rnacentral:misc_RNA from 1 species
AAGUCGUAACAAGGUAUCCGUAGGUGAACCUGCGGAUGGAUCAUUAUCACGUAUCCACGUAUCAACCAUUGUGAACCGUUUUAUAUAGUAUUUUUGUUUUUUUUUAGUUCCUGGAAGAUGUUUCGGCAUCAACUGAGAAUUAAUUAUAAAAAACAAUUAAUAUUAUACUAUUUUUAUUAACAAUUUAAACCAUAACUUUAUAAUUUUUGACUUACUUAUUUUAUACUCUUCGGAGAUAAAAUUCAUUACGAAACAAAGAACAACUCUUAGCAACGGAUAUCUUGGUUCUC